rnacentral:rRNA from 1 species
GAUGAACGCUGGCGGCGUGCCUAAUACAUGCAAGUCGAGCGAACAGACGAGGAGCUUGCUCCUCUGACGUUAGCGGCGGACGGGUGAGUAACACGUGGAUAACCUACCUAUAAGACUGGGAUAACUUCGGGAAACCGGAGCUAAUACCGGAUAAUAUAUUGAACCGCAUGGUUCAAUAGUGAAAGACGGUUUUGCUGUCACUUAUAGAUGGAUCCGCGCCGCAUUAGCUAGUUGGUAAGGUAACGGCUUACCAAGGCAACGAUGCGUAGCCGACCUGAGAGGGUGAUCGGCCACACUGGACCUGAGACCCGGUCCAGACCCCUAGGGGAGGCAGCGGUAGGGAAUCUUCCGCAAUGGGGGAAAGCCUGACGGAGCAACGCCGGGUGGGUGAUGAAGGUUUUCGGAUCGUAAAACUCUUUUUUUAGGGAAGAAAAAAUGUUUAAGUAACUAUCCCCGUCUUGACGGUACCUAAUCAGAAAGCCACGGCAAACUACGU